rnacentral:rRNA from 1 species
GGCAAUAGGUUGUUGCAGUUAAAGCUCGUAGUUGGAUUUUGGUUAAGAGGGCGCGGUCGGCCGUUUGGUCUGUACUGCGUUGUCUUGACUUCCUGAUGAGGACAUGCUCUUGGUUAACGCUGAGACAUGGAGUCAUCGUGGUUACUUUGAAAAAAUUAGAGUGUUCAAAGCGGGCUUACGCUUGAAUAUAUUAGCAUGGAAUAACACUAUAGGACUCCUGUCCUAUCUCGUUGGUCUCGGGAUGGGAGUAAUGAUUAAGAGGAACAGUUGGGGGCAUUCGUAUUUCAUUGUCAGAGGUGAAAUUCUUGGAUUUAUGAAAGACGAACUUCUGCGAAAGCAUUUGCCAAGGAUGUUUUCAUUAGUCAAGAACGAAAGUUGGGGGCUCGAAGAUGAUUAGAUACCAUCCUAGUCUCAACCAUAAACGAUGCCGACUAGGGAUUGGUGGAUGUUAAUUGAUGACUUCACCAGCACCUUAUGAGAAAUCAAAGUUUUUGGGUUCCGGGGGGAGUAUGGUCGCAAGGCUGAAACUUAAAGGAAUUGACGGAAGGGCACCACCAGGCGUGGAGCCUGCGGCUUAAUUUGACUCAACACGGGAAAUCUCACCAGGCCCGGACACUGGAAGGAUUGACAGAUUGAUAGCUCUUUCUUGAUUCGGUGGGUGGUGGUGCAUGGCCGUUCUUAGUUGGUGGAGUGAUUUGUCUGGUUAAUUCCGAUAACGAACGAGACUCUGUCCUGCUAAAUAGUGUCCGCCUCUCUUUUGGGCAGACAAUUCUUCUUAGAGGGACUGGCAACUCUUAGUUGCACGAAAAAGAGCAAU